UGAAUCGAUACAGGAAUUAAUAAUAAUGAUGUUCAGAAAUUGUAAACCCAACUUUGAAGCUAAGUUUGCCUGUAACAGCCACGUGACGUGACCUUGACCUUGGUACUGGAAUCAGAGGUCGUUGUGGAGCCUCUGAGCAUCGUCAGCCGGUGAUUCUACUGUUAGCUCGUUUUUAACCCGUUUUCCUGAAAUCCACUGGAUCUAUUUCCUGUUGAUCAAGCGGAGGUCUGAAGGAGCGUCGUGUUGAGCCGUCCGGCAGCGUGUGGUCACAGACCCUCAGGAGAGUGGAGGCCUCCACCUCAGUGACCGUCCCUCCGCCUCACCUUCAACUCCAUCCUCACAGCACCAACGAGAGCCGGCAUUCAAACACACGGGAGCGCUGAGCGGAGCCUCCGGGCCACAGACCGUGUCAAAGGUCAGAGGGCUUGAAUACUGUGUGACGAUGAGUUCUGACUCACAGGAUCAAGCUUUAAAGGGGUAAUUCUUGCCAGAAGGACCUGUUGUGUUUGGUGCCACAUUUCAGGGCAGAGGUGAUAAACACGUUUUCCAGAUGAGCUCAAAGAACAAAGCAUUUAGAAUAAGAUGGAGCGAACAUCACAGAACGUUACGUACUACUUGUACUAAUGUACAUUCUACUUCAUGUACAUUCUACUUCAGUUAGGUGAUACAUGCAGGGCUUGUACCACUUCCACCGUGGUAAUUGUACUGCAGUAAAGGGUAUGAAUACUUCUGUCUCCCCCAGAAGCACACAGAGAAUGUUGACAGCUAGCUAGCUUAGCUGCUCGCUUAGCUGCUAACUCUGUUUGUAAACACGCGCGGAAGCUACGCAUUUCAGCACAAGCGAAGAAGACGAAGAAGAAGAGCAUCGUCUCACCGGAGGCUUCACCUGCGGACGGCUCGUCUUCUCCGAGUCACCUGGUUCUCAUGUGGAACAGCACAGCUGCAGCGGCGCCAUUGGCUCUGACGUCAUCAUCAAGCGACGGAGCCGGCUGAAUGGGGAGGGACACAGACGCUCGUCCGCGUUGCCGGCCAACGGAGUCGGAGCAGCAAUACAGGGGUCGGGGUCAGAGGUCAGGGGUCAGGGUGCUGGUAGUCGACCUCGGAUGUGACGAUCAUCUCAGACACCACGAGAUUAUAAACAUCGAUGCACAACAGCAAUAUCUAUUAUCAUUAUUAUCAUUAUUAUUAUUAUUAGUUGCAGUAGUAUUUUGUUUCUUUCAUAUUAUUAUCAUCAGUAUAAAUUGUUUGGUUAAUUGAUAAAUGAAAAGACAAAUCCAGUUAGAACCGUUAAAAACUGUUUUCUUUUUGAAACUCUCUGCAGUAACUGGACAUGAGUGAGUUUUCAGCUGUGGUUUCCUCCCCUGCAGUGAUGGAGCUGCUGGGACGUGUGUGUU
ensembl:lncRNA